GGACUUGUAGCUCAGUUGGUCAGAGCGCCCGCCUGAAAAGUGGGAGGUCAGCGGUUCGAUUCCGUUCGGGUCCA
rnacentral:tRNA from 1 species